rnacentral:misc_RNA from 1 species
UCUCCGUAGGUGAACCUGCGGAGGGAUCAUUACAGAGUUCACGACCUCGCGGGUCCAUCUCCCACCCACUGUUAUCGUUACUUUCGUUUCUUUGCCGGGCCGCCUAAGCCCCGGCCGACGACGUCAACGAUGCGACCCGCUCCCUACAUAGGACUUCGAACCAAGAAUGUUAGUUACUCCUAAGUACUAACAAAUAAUCAAUACUUUCAACAACGGAUCUCUUUGGCCUGGCAUAGAUGCAGAACGCAGCAGAUCAGAACAGCACACGUCUCAAGUCCC